GGCUUGUCUCCAAGAUUAAGCCAUGCAUGUUUAAGCACAAGCCAAAUAAUGGUAAAGCCGCGAAUGGCUCAUUACAACAGCCAUUGUUUAUUGGAUCUGUUUCAACUUGGAUAACUGUGGUAAUUCUAGAGCUAAUACAUGUAUCAAAGCUCUAACCGUAAGGAAAGAGCGCAUUUAUUAGACCAAAACCAACCGGCAUUUUGCCGUUUCUUGGUGAAUCUGAAUAACUAUGUAAAUCGCACAGUCAAAGAACUGGCGAUAAGUCUUUCAAGUGUCUGCCUUAUCAACUUUCGAUGGUAGUUUAUAUGCCUACCAUGGUUAUAACGGGUAACGGAGAAUAAGGGUUCGACUCCGGAGAGGGAGCCUGAGAAAUGGCUACCACAUCCAAGGAAG
rnacentral:rRNA from 1 species